GGCUUAGUGGUCUAGUGGUAUGAUUCUUGCUUUGGGUGCAAGAGGUCCCGGGUUCAAAUCCCGGCUGAGCCC